GGGGCAGCAGCAGACGCUGCGCGGGACAUCCCACCCCCAGCGCCAGGCGGCGGGGGCCCACCGAGAAGCAAGAGGGCUCCAGACACAGGGCCACUGUGACGCAGCGAGGCCCUGGCCAGUGCACAGGCGGCCGUCGGCAGGUGGGGCUGGCCAGCGAGGGGGACGCUGGGCUAACAAACCAGGCGGUGCAGCCUGCGGCGGUGCCCAGUGCACCCGACCUCCAGUGCCACAGCGCCCACCGCGUCCACGUCGCAGUAGGUGUGACUCAUCGGGAGGCCAUAUCAAGUGCACAAGGGGAUGUGUACAGGUUUAUACAAACGCCACAUUUUCUAUAAAGGACUAUCAUCCUGGAAAAGGGGGCGGGGCAGUAAAACACCGUGUCCCUGAAUGCCCCCCCCCCCUUUCUAAACCUAUGUAUUUUUACUUGUCCUUUUUAGAUAUACAUGACAGUAGAGUGCAUUUUGACAUACAUUCAUAGAGUAUAACUUCCCAUUCCUGGGGUUGUACAUGAUGUGGAGUUACACUGGUCGUGUGUUCACAUAUGAACAUAGGAAAGUGAUGUGCGGUUCAUUCUACUGUCUCUACGAUUCUCAUCCCCCUUCCCUUCUCAUCAUUCCAUUUGUCUAAUCCAAUGAACUUCUAUCCCCACCCCCUCUUAUUGUGUUAGCAUCUGCAUAUCUUCAUAUCAGAGGGAACAACCAGCCUUUGGUUUUUUGGGAAUUGCUUAUUUCACAUAGCUCGAUAGUCUCCGGUUCCAUCCAUUUACCAGCAAACACCAUAAUUUUAUUCUUCUUUAUGGCUGAGUAAUAUUUCAUUGUAGGUGUGUGUGUGUGUCUAUCUCACAUUUCUUUCUCCAUUCAUCUGUUGAAGGGCACCUAGGUUGGUCCCAUAGCUUGGUUAUUGUGAACUGAGCUGCUAUAAACAUUAAUGUGGCUGUGUCACUGAAAUAUGCUGAUUUUAAGUCCUUUGGGUAUAUACUGAGGAGUAUAUAACUGAGUCAAAUGGUGGUUCCAUUCCAAGUUUUCUGAGGGCUCUCCAUAUUGUUUUCCAGAGUGCUUGCACAAAUCUGCAGUCCCAACAGCAGUGUUAUGAGUGUACCUUUCCCCCCACAUCCUUGCCAACUUAUUGUUACCUGUAGUCUUGAUAACUGCCAUGUGACUGGAGUGAGAGGGAAUCUCAGUGUAGUUUUUUUUUUUUUUAAUAUUUAUUUUUAGUUUUCGGCGGACACAAUAUCUUUGUUUGUAUGUGGUGUUGAGGAUCGAACCCGGGCUGCACGCAUGCCAAGCGAGCGCGCUACCGCUUGAGCCACAUCCCCAGCCUCAGUGUAGUUUUAUUUUGCAUUUCUCUAAUUGCUAAAGAUGUUGAAUUUUUUCAUAUAUUUGUAGGUCAUUCGUAUUUCUUCUUCUGUGAAGUGCAUGUUCAGGUCCUUUGCCCAUUUUUUGACUGGGUUAUAUGGUUUGUGGUAAGUUUUUUGAGUUCUUUAUAUAUCCAGGAGAUUAAUGCUCUAUCUGAGGUGCAGGUGGCAAAGAUUUUCUCCCAUUCUGCAGGCUCUCUGAUUCUUGAUUUUACUUCUUGCACCUUAGGAGUCUUGCUGACAGGAUUGAGAGUUGGACCUACAGUUUCUUCUAGCAGGUGCUCCUUGGGAUGCUGGUCAUACAAGCAAGCUCAGCAAACUGAUGCCAACAAUGUUGCUGCUUCUGAAGCCUAACAGCUGUCACUUUGUGGAGACAGCAGUUCGAUUCCAGCCACCAGAGCAUGGCUGUAGGGACGAUCUGAUGUGCCAUCAUCAAUAUCUUCACAAUGACAGCUUUGCAUCCGGAGUGAUCCCAUCUCCCAUGGUGUCUCCAGGCACUUUCUUUGGCAUGUCUACAACCUACUCCACUGCCCUGGCACACCUGGGCAAAGGGCGAGACAAGGGACGUGAGAAUGUGUGGAUUUUGAUAUCUGCUCUUGCAGAGGAGGGACGGUGUGUGUGUGUGUGUGUGUGUGUGUACUGGGACCAAUUCCACUGAGAUACUGCUGGACAACUGUAUACCUCAUGAGUCAAACAAGUGAUGUGUUCCUUUAACAUGUGUGCAUGUACUUGUAAAUGAUUAAAAGAUUUGGAGUCUAGGCAAGCACUCCAUUAUUGAGUUACCUCCCCAACCCCCAACUUUUUUUUUUUUUUAAGUUUAGCCUUGAGUG